rnacentral:rRNA from 1 species
AUACGGAGGGUGCAAGCGUUACUCGGAAUUACUGGGCGUAAAGGACGCGUAGGCGGUUUAGAAAGUCAGAUGUGAAAGCCUAUGGCUUAACCAUAGAACUGCAUUUGAAACUUCCAAACUAGAGUGGGGGAGAGGUCAGUGGAAUUAGUGGUGUAGGGGUAAAAUCCGUAGAGAUCACUACGAAUACUCAUUGCGAAGGCGACUGACUGGAACUUAACUGACGCUGAGGCGUGGAGGCGUGGGGAGCAAACAGGAUUAGAAACCCCGGUAGUCC